UCCGUAGGCGGUUUUGUAAGUCAGUGGUGAAGGCCCAUCGCUCAACGGUGGAACGGCCAUUGAUACUGCAAGACUUGAAUUAUUAGGAAGUAACUAGAAUAUGUAGUGUAGCGGUGAAAUGCUUAGAUAUUACAUGGAAUACCAAUUGCGAAGGCAGGUUACUACUAAUAUAUUGACGCUGAUGGACGAAAGCGUGGGGAGCGAACA
rnacentral:rRNA from 1 species